rnacentral:rRNA from 1 species
CCUACGGGCGGCAGCAGUGAGGAAUAUUGGUCAAUGGGCGCGAGCCUGAACCAGCCAGGUAGCGUGAAGGAUGACUGCCCUACGGGUUGUAAACUUCUUUUAUAAAGGAAUAAAGUGAGGCACGUGUGCCUUGUUGUAUGUACUUUAUGAAUAAGGAUCGGCUAACUCAGUGCCAGCAGCCGCGGUAAUACGGAGGAUCCGAGCGUUAUCGGGAUUUAUUGGGUUUAAAGGGAGCGUAGAUGGGUUGUUAAGUCAGUUGUGAAAGUUUGCGGCUCAACCGUAAAAUUGCAAUUGAUACUGGCCGCCUUGAGUGCAGGUGAGGUAGGUGGAAUUCGUGGUGUAGCGGUGAAAUGCGUAGAUAUUACGAAGAACUCCGAUUGCGAAGGCAGCUUACUAGACUGCCACUGACAUUGAUGCUCGAAAGUGUGGGUAUCAAACAGGAUUAGAUACCCGGGUAGUC